AACGAACGCUGGCGGCAUGCCUAACACAUGCGAGUCGAACGAAGCCUUCGGGCUUAGUGGCGCACGGGUGCGUAACGCGUGGGAAUCUGCCCUUGGGUUCGGAAUAACAGUUAGAAAUGACUGCUAAUACCGGAUGAUGUCUUCGGACCAAAGAUUUAUCGCCCAAGGAUGAGCCCGCGUAGGAUUAGGUAGUUGGUGGGGUAAUGGCCCACCAAGCCGACGAUCCUUAGCUGUCUGAGAGGAUGAUCAGCCACACUGGGACUGAGACACGGCCCAGACUCCUACGGGAGGCAGCAGUGGGGAAUAUUGGACAAUGGGCGAAAGCCUGAUCCAGCAAUGCCGCGUGAGUGAUGAAGGCCUUAGGGUUGUAAAGCUCUUUUACCAGGGAUGAUAAUGACAGUACCUGGAGAAUAAGCUCCGGCUAACUCCGUGCCAGCAGCCGCGGUAA
rnacentral:rRNA from 1 species